rnacentral:rRNA from 2 species
CACUAUCGUUAACUGAAUACAUAGGUUAACGAGGCGAACCGGGGGAACUGAAACAUCUAAGUACCCCGAGGAAAAGAAAUCAACCGAGAUUCCCCCAGUAGCGGCGAGCGAACGGGGAGCAGCCCAGAGUCUGAAUCAGCUUGUGUGUUAGUGGAACGGUCUGGAAAGUCCGACGGUACAGGGUGAUAGUCCCGUACACCAAAAUGCACAGGUUGUGAACUCGAAGAGUAGGGCGGGACACGUGGUAUCCUGUCUGAAUAUGGGGGGACCAUCCUCCAAGGCUAAAUACUCCUGACUGACCGAUAGUGAACCAGUACCGUGAGGGAAAGGCGAAAAGAACCCCGGCGAGGGGAGUGAAAAAGAACCUGAAACCGUGUACGUACAAGCAGUGGGAGCACCUUCGGGUGUGACUGCGUACCUUUUGUAUAAUGGGUCAGCGACUUAUAUUCUGUAGCAAGGUUAACCGUAUAGGGGAGCCGCAGGGAAACCGAGUCUUAACUGGGCGUUAAGUUGCAGGGUAUAGACCCGAAACCCGGUGAUCUAGCCAUGGGCAGGUUGAAGGUUGGGUAACACUAACUGGAGGACCGAACCGACUAAUGUUGAAAAAUUAGCGGAUGACUUGUGGCUGGGGGUGAAAGGCCAAUCAAACCGGGAGAUAGCUGGUUCUCCCCGAAAGCUAUUUAGGUAGCGCCUCGUGAAUUCAUCUUCGGGGGUAGAGCACUGUUUCGGCUAGGGGGUCAUCCCGACUUACCAACCCGAUGCAAACUACGAAUACCGAAGAAUGUUAUCACGGGAGACACACGGCGGGUGCUAACGUCCGUCGUGAAGAGGGAAACAACCCAGACCGCCAGCUAAGGUCCCAAAGUCAUGGUUAAGUGGGAAACGAUGUGGGAAGGCACAGACAGCCAGGAUGUUGGCUUAGAAGCAGCCAUCAUUUAAAGAAAGCGUAAUAGCUCACUGGUCGAGUCGGCCUGCGCGGAAGAUGUAACGGGGCUAAACCAUGCACCGAAGCUGCGGCAGCGACACUAUGUGUUGUUGGGUAGGGGAGCGUUCUGUAAGCCUGCGAAGGUGACCUGUGAGGGUUGCUGGAGGUAUCAGAAGUGCGAAUGCUGACAUAAGUAACGAUAAAGCGGGUGAAAAGCCCGCUCGCCGGAAGACCAAGGGUUCCUGUCCAACGUUAAUCGGGGCAGGGUGAGUCGACCCCUAAGGCGAGGCCGAAAGGCGUAGUCGAUGGGAAACAGGUUAAUAUUCCUGUACUUGGUGUUACUGCGAAGGGGGGACGGAGAAGGCUAUGUUAGCCGGGCGACGGUUGUCCCGGUUUAAGCAUGUAGGCUGGUUAUCCAGGCAAAUCCGGAUAAUCAAGGCUGAGGUGUGAUGACGAGGCACUACGGUGCUGAAGUAACAAAUGCCCUGCUUCCAGGAAAAGCCUCUAAGCAUCAGGUAACAUCAAAUCGUACCCCAAACCGACACAGGUGGUCAGGUAGAGAAUACCAAGGCGCUUGAGAGAACUCGGGUGAAGGAACUAGGCAAAAUGGUGCCGUAACUUCGGGAGAAGGCACGCUGGUGUGUAGGUGAAGUCCCUGCGGAUGGAGCUGAGACCAGUCGAAGAUACCAGCUGGCUGCAACUGUUUAUUAAAAACACAGCACUGUGCAAACACGAAAGUGGACGUAUACGGUGUGACGCCUGCCCGGUGCCGGAAGGUUAAUUGAUGGGGUUAUCCGUAAGGAGAAGCUCUUGAUCGAAGCCCCGGUAAACGGCGGCCGUAACUAUAACGGUCCUAAGGUAGCGAAAUUCCUUGUCGGGUAAGUUCCGACCUGCACGAAUGGCGUAAUGAUGGCCAGGCUGUCUCCACCCGAGACUCAGUGAAAUUGAACUCGCUGUGAAGAUGCAGUGUACCCGCGGCAAGACGGAAAGACCCCGUGAACCUUUACUAUAGCUUGACACUGAACAUUGAGCCUUGAUGUGUAGGAUAGGUGGGAGGCUUUGAAGCGUGGACGCCAGUCUGCGUGGAGCCAACCUUGAAAUACCACCCUUUAAUGUUUGAUGUUCUAACGUUGGCCCCUUACCGGGGUUGCGGACAGUGUCUGGUGGGUAGUUUGACUGGGGCGGUCUCCUCCCAAAGCGUAACGGAGGAGCACGAAGGUUAGCUAAUCCUGGUCGGACAUCAGGAGGUUAGUGCAAUGGCAUAAGCUAGCUUGACUGCGAGCGUGACGGCGCGAGCAGGUGCGAAAGCAGGUCAUAGUGAUCCGGUGGUUCUGAAUGGAAGGGCCAUCGCUCAACGGAUAAAAGGUACUCCGGGGAUAACAGGCUGAUACCGCCCAAGAGUUCAUAUCGACGGCGGUGUUUGGCACCUCGAUGUCGGCUCAUCACAUCCUGGGGCUGAAGUAGGUCCCAAGGGUAUGGCUGUUCGCCAUUUAAAGUGGUACGCGAGCUGGGUUUAGAACGUCGUGAGACAGUUCGGUCCCUAUCUGCCGUGGGCGCUGGAGAAUUGAGGGGGGCUGCUCCUAGUACGAGAGGACCGGAGUGGACGCAUCACUGGUGUUCGGGUUGUCAUGCCAAUGGCACUGCCCGGUAGCUAAAUGCGGAAGAGAUAAGUGCUGAAAGCAUCUAAGCACGAAACUUGCCCCGAGAUGAGUUCUCCCUGAGACUUUAAGUCUCCUGAAGGAACGUUGAAGACGACGACGUUGAUAGGCCGGGUGUGUAAGCGCAGCGAUGCGUUGAGCUAACCGGUACUAAUGAACCGUGAGGCUUAACCUU